rnacentral:rRNA from 1 species
GACGAACGCUGGCGGCGUGCUUAACACAUGCAAGUCGAACGGAAAGGCCCUGCUGUUGUGGGAUGCGCGAGUGGCGAACGGGUGAGUAACAAGUGAGUAACCUGCCCUUGACGUUGGGAUAACGUCAGGAAACUGGGGCUAAUACCGGAUAGGAGCUCCGGCUGCAUGGUGUUGGUUGGAAAGUUUCGGCGGUUGGGGAUGGACUGGCGGCUUAUCAGCUUGUUGGUGGGUUAGUGGCUUACCAAGGCUUUGACGGGUAGCCGGCCUGAGAGGGUGACCGGCACCAUUGGGACUGGGAUACGGCCAAGACCCCUCCGGGAGCCAGCAGUGGGGAUUAUUGAACAAUGGGCGGAGGCCUAAUGCAGCAACGCCGCGUCCGGGAUGACGGCCUUCGGGUUGUAACCCGUUUUCGCCUGUGACGAAGCGUGAGUGACGGUAAUGGGUAAAGAAGCACCGGCUAACUACGUG